GGGGAUUUAGUUCAGCGGCUUAAGCACCUGCCUUGCAAGCAGGUGGUCGUCAGUUCAAUCCCCC
rfam:Cavia porcellus supercont2_6 genomic scaffold, whole genome shotgun sequence.